UGGGCAAUCGGACUAAGGAAGGUGGGUACCAGGUAGAAAAGUACCAUCGGUACCUGGUAACCCAAAGACCCAAGAGAGAGUGGGUAACUCAGAGUCCGAUAGCCCAAAAAGAGAGUGGGCAAUCGGACUAAGGAAGGUGGGUACCAGGUAGAAAAGUACCAUCGGUACCUGGUAACCCAAAGACCCAAGAGAGAGUGGGUAACUCAGAGUCCGAUAGCCCAAAAAGAGAGUGGGCAAUCGGACUAAGGAAGGUGGGUACCAGGUAGAAAAGUACCAUCGGUACCUGGUAACCCAAAGACCCAAGAGAGAGUGGGUAACUCAGAGUCCGAUAGCCCAAAAAGAGAGAGGGCAAUCGGACUAAGGAAGGUGGGUACCAGGUAGAAAAGUACCACCGGAAACCCAGUGUGGACUUAGGUACUGGGUGGAAAGCGGCCGGGUGACCAGGUG